CAUGGAUAACCCGAAUAAUCCAGUCGUUAUUUAACGAUCACUCAGUUCACUCCAUUAACCAAUUCCUCGAGAAAAGUAUUGGAUAGGGGGCGCUGAAUUAUUCGAGUUAGUACAUGGAGGAAAGGUCUAUUUAAAAUGUUAUUCAAAGAUUAGAAGCGACGAUUCAAUUUCUAUUUGUGUAUUGUAUCUGUCAUGGUUGAAACGGCACCAGUAACAUAUCAGGAUAGACAACAGAAGUCUAGUGAGAAAAAUGUUAUGAAACACCAGCAAAAAAGACUAGAUUGUUAUUCAGUCCUAACUUAUACAGUGUUUCUGAAGAUGGAGAUUAGAUCAGGCCUAUCCAGAAGCAAGAAAAAGGACAAUUGUUAACACGUACAUCUACAGAGAGAGACAUGUUUUAAAAAUAGAUUUAUUUUCAAUUUAAGAAAAAACUGUUUAACUUUUACUAUUUUGUAUCUGUUUAUUUUACAUUUAUAUGUUGAUAUUUUGUUUUUUAAAAUUGCUGCACAGUAUUUCUAUUCAGUCCCACAUAACAAAAUCAGCUGAAGAAAUUGAUAUUUUCAUAUUUCAAGGGAGUGUCCUUUUGCAUUGUUGAUAGCAGAUAUAUGUAUUGUCUUAAGUUGGGUUUAAAAACAGUCAGAUCGCAACUUCAAAUAAUAUAAAAUACUUUUUUAUGAAUGUUAUAUGUCUUUAAAUAGACAUGAAAGAUAGAAAAUUAUAUAGGAACACAUUUUUUCUAUGACCUAACUGUAUUGUCAUGGUAAAUUUAUUAUGUGAACAUAUCAAAUAUUAUCAAAAACGCCGCUGGUUUAAUUUAAAAUAAAAUUAUUCUAUGUAGCCUAAUGUCAUCAUACAGAUCAGUGUAUUUUUUCCUAAACAAAUUUUACAUAUUUUUAUAACCAGAAUAAAUUUAUUCUGUGUCUCAACCUUAACAUUAUUACUGGACUAUCAAAAUAAAUUUAUUUUAUUUAUCAUAAAACUUUUAAUCCACAUUGAAUGUAGAAUAAAUUUAUUCUGUGUCGCCACCUUAAUAUGAUAACUGUACUUUCAGAAUAAAUUUAUUUUAUAUAUUAUUAUACAAGACAAAAAUCAAUCACAU